CAACAGGCUCGCUUAGGUCCCUCCUGUCACUGAACCCAUCACUGUCCGGGGCUGGGCAGUGGGGGCUUUGCCAGGCCUGGCUCGUGCGCUCCCCGGGGCCUGGGGUUCAGGAUCAGCUCAGCCCAAACACAGGGACUGAGGUGGGAAAGUGAAUUCUCACAUGCAGUCGGGUCUGUUCAUACAAGGAGGGGAGUGGAUGCUGGGGGACGCACAGGAGAUGUUCCCUCCGCGAAGGGGACGUGCAGGACCACACCACGCUGCCCGAGAAUCACCAAGGACUCAGAGGGAGGAGGAGGCGAGAGAGAGGAAGAGGCUGAGGUAGGGAGACUCCGGUUCCCCCUCCUGCCUAGCACGGUGUCACCGGGCGUGACAGGAGGGGGCUGGACAAGGUUCAGGGAGCAUGUGACCAUCAGGGUCCUGCUGGUGAGAAAGGAGGGCAUGCCCCGGCGAGACAGCUGGCAGAGUCUGUCAUCGUCCAAUUAACCGGCUCAGGAGAUCUGCGUUUACGGCCGAGGACACACGCAGCUGUUUUCCAUCCAAGGUUCAUAAUUUACUUCUUCACCAACACGAAUUCCUGCAUUUGAGAAUUUCCCAAAUCUCCACCCUCCUUGGGGCGCACAGACAUGCCCCCUGCAGCGCCUGCAUUAGCCGCUUUUCCGUGCCCGGCACAGAUCACCCCCCUCCUGGUCGCCCGGGCUGCGGGGCCUCAGCUGUCCUCCAUCUGCAGACCAGCCGCCGAGGGAUUAAAAACCUCCUCGCUGGCCAGGGAGCCUGGGCUUGUCCUCCAGCAGCUCCGGCCUGGAUGCGGUCCCAGAGAUAAAUCAUAUCUCUUUAAAAGGCCACAACGGCCCAUUAUUUCUGCUUGAAAAUACCCCUGGAUCUUCACUUGAGAGCUGGGGUGACAGGCCCCGGCUGUGGUGCUCAGCUCUGCAUAAAAUCGCUGUCAGCCGGUCAACUUCUGUCACGAGCAGGCUGGCAGCUUCAGACGGAGGGUAAGGAAGAUCCCCUCCCCGGCUCCAGGACCUGGCCGGAGGCUCCCGAGAGUCCCGCCUGCAGAAGAAGCGGGAACCUCCACCAUCCUUGGGCUCAUGCCCACGUGAAGUGCCCUGUUCCUGCCCGGUCAACAUGGUGAGGAGCCAAAACGACAGGGCGAUUCCUGGUCUGCAUUUCGAGAUAUCCUGUGAUACUUCCUCAAGUAAACAGCAAUCGGAAAUAAUAAACCGAGCACAACUGAACAAUUAUUGUGGAUAUUUUCACCCAGAAGAAUAUAAUGCGCCUCCACAUUCCCAUCACUUGGAUUCCACAGGGACCAGGAUUUGCCCCACUCCCUCCAGCUCUCACCCCUCUUCCUGCCAGCGUGUUUUAAAGCAAAUCCCAGACCUCACGUGGAUGUCUUCUACCAUAGCUGCAGCGUCCUUGUCACUUCUAAAGUUCAAACUUCCCCACUUGUCUGGCAAAUGUCUUCCUCUCAUUGCUUUUCCGGAAUCAGGAUUCGAACAAGGCCCCGUCCUUGGUCGUGAAGGGACGGACAGAUGCUCUUCCUUUCUCUUUCUUUCUUCUUCCUCUUCUUUCUCUUUUUCUGUGUUCGUUUGUUUGGUUUUGUUUCCCCGAAGUUAA
rnacentral:lncRNA from 1 species